rnacentral:rRNA from 1 species
GGAUGACCUACCUAUAUGUGGGGGAUAACAGUUGGAAACGACUGCUAAUACCGCAUGUGAUCACAAUUAUAAAGGUUGUGAGGAAAGAUGGCCUCUGUUUACAAGCUGUCGCUUAUAGAUGGGUUCGCGUCUGAUUAGCUAGUUGGUAGGGUAAAGGCCUACCAAGGCGACGAUCAGUAGCCGGCCUGAGAGGGUGGACGGCCACACUGGGACUGAGACACGGCCCAGACUCCUACGGGAGGCAGCAGUGGGGAAUAUUGCGCAAUGGGGGAAACCCUGACGCAGCGACGCCGCGUGAGCGAAGAAGGCCUUAGGGUUGUAAAGCUCUGUUGUAAGGGAAGAAAGGCAACCGGAGUAAUAUGCUGGUUGUAUGACGGUACCUUACGAGGAAGCCCCGGCUAACUACGUGCCAGCAGCCGCGGUAAGACGUAGGGGGCGAGCGUUGUCCGGAAUUACUGGGCGUAAAGAGCACGUAGGCGGAUAUUUAAGUCAGUUGUGAAAGACCGCGGCUCAACCGCGGGGUUGCAAUUGAAACUGGGUAUCUUGAGGGCAGGAGAGGUCAGUGGAAUUCCUGGUGUAGCGGUGAAAUGCGUAGAAAUCAGGAGGAACACCAGUGGCGAAGGCGGCUGACUGGACUGGCCCUGACGCUGAGGUGCGAAAGCGUGGGUAGCAAACAGGAUUAGAUACCCUGGUAGUCCACGCCGUA